rnacentral:rRNA from 1 species
UGGGGAAUCUUGCACAAUGGGCGCAAGCCUGAUGCAGCAACGCCGCGUGCGGGAAGACGGCCCUAGGGUUGUAAAACUCUUUCGCUAGGGAAGAUAAUGACGGUACCUAGUAAAGAAGUCCCGGCUAACUCCGUGCCAGCAGCCGCGGUAAUACGGAGGGGACUAGCGUUGUUCGGAAUUACUGGGCGUAAAGCGCACGUAGGCGGACCAGAAAGUUGGGGGUGAAAUCCCGGGGGCUCAACCCCGGAACUGCCUCCAAAACUAUUGGUCUAGAGUUCGAGAGAGGUGAGUGGAAUUCCAAGUGUAGAGGUGAAAUUCGUAGAUAUUUGGAGGAACACCAGUGGCGAAGGCGGCUCACUGGCUCGAUACUGACGCUGAGGUGCGAAAAGUGUGGGGAGCAAAACAGGAUUAGAUACCCUGGUAGUCCACACCGUAAAACGAUGAAUGCCAGUCGUCGGGUAGCAUGCUAUUCGGUGACACACCUAACGGAUUAAGCAUUCCGCCUGGGGAGUACGUCGCAAGAUUAAAACUCAAAUGAAUUG